rnacentral:rRNA from 1 species
CUACGGGGUGCUGCAGUGAGGAAUAUUGCACAAUGGGGGGAACCCUGAUGCAGCAACGCCGCGCGGAGGAUGACGCAUUUCGGUGUGUAAACUCCUUUUAUAUGUCAAGAAAAUGACGGUAGCAUAUGAAUAAGCACCGGCUAACUCCGUGCCAGCAGCCGCGGUAAUACGGAGGGUGCAAGCGUUACUCGGAAUCACUGGGCGUAAAGGACGCGUAGGCGGGUUGGAAAGUCAGGUGUGAAAUCCUACAGCUUAACUGUAGAACUGCACUUGAAACUUCUAAUCUAGAGUAUGGGAGGGGGAGAUGGAAUUAGCGGUGUAGGGGUAAAAUCCGUAGAUAUCACUAGGAAUACCUAAAGCGAAGGCGAUCUCCUGGAACAUUACUGACGCUAAGGCGUGAAAGCGUGGGGAGCAAACAGGAUUAGAUACCCCCGUAGUC